AUUGAACGCUGGCGGCAUGCCUUACACAUGCAAGUCGAACGGCAGCACGGGAGCAAUCCUGGUGGCGAGUGGCGAACGGGUGAGUAAUACAUCGGAACGUGCCCAGUAGUGGGGGAUAACUGCUCGAAAGAGCAGCUAAUACCGCAUACGACCUGAGGGUGAAAGCGGGGGAUCGCAAGACCUCGCGCUAUUGGAGCGGCCGAUGUCAGAUUAGCUAGUUGGUGGGGUAAAGGCCUACCAAGGCAACGAUCUGUAGUUGGUCUGAGAGGACGACCAGCCACACUGGGACUGAGACACGGCCCAGACUCCUACGGGAGGCAGCAGUGGGGAAUUUUGGACAAUGGGGGCAACCCUGAUCCAGCAAUGCCGCGUGCAGGAAGAGGGCCUUCGGGUUGUAAACUGCUUUUGUCAGGGAAGAAAUCCUCUGGGUUAAUACCUCGGGGGGAUGACGGUACCUGAAGAAUAAGCACCGGCUAACUACGUGCCAGCCGCCGCAGUAAUAC
rnacentral:rRNA from 1 species